rnacentral:rRNA from 1 species
GAUGAACGCUGGCGGCGUGCCUAAUACAUGCAAGUCGAGCGAACAGACGAGGAGCUUGCUCCUCUGACGUUAGCGGCGGACGGGUGAGUAACACGUGGAUAACCUACCUAUAAGACUGGGAUAACUUCGGGAAACCGGAGCUAAUACCGGAUAAUAUAUUGAACCGCAUGGUUCAAUAGUGAAAGACGGUUUUGCUGUCACUUAUAGAUGGAUCCGCGCCGCAUUAGCUAGUUGGUAAGGUAACGGCUUACCAAGGCAACGAUGCGUAGCCGACCUGAGAGGGUGAUCGGCCACACUGGAACUGAGACACGGUCCAGACUCUUACGGGAGGCAGCAGUAGGGAAUCUUCCGCAAAGGGCGAAAGCUUGACGGAGCAACGCCGCGUGAGUGAUGAAGGUCUUCGGAUCGUAAAACUCUGUUAUUAGGGAAGAACAAAUGUGUAAGUAACUAUGCACGUCUUGACGGUACCUAAUCAGAAAGCCACGGCUAACUACGUG